rnacentral:lncRNA from 1 species
AGAGCUCAUGGAAGUUUGGGAUUUGGCUUAAUAUGAUCUCUAUAAUGCCAAAGAUGAUCAUAAAGUUGUUGUUUUUGACAUGGCAGCCGACGUUCUGGCCAUCCUUGUGAAAGCAAUCUGAUCUUUUUAUUGCCCUGGUUAAUCAAAGGUACACAAGAUUUAAACCAGGAGAUAUAUAUUCCAUCAAAAACAUCAGCUUUAGCAUAUAAAUCAUAAAUCCUUACGCCAUACUAAUAGCUGAAGUGAUUGAAUAUCCAAUUGUUAUCCCUACAAGAUUCAUAUAUUGUGCUAAUCCACAAAACUUGUUAUUGAUUCCUCCUGUUAGAAAGAAAAAAACCUAGAAAUCAUUAGCAUUGGGGUUCCAUGUCCUUGAAAGAACCGGUAGUCAUUCAUGUCGGACACUUGGAUAUGGAGAUAUGAUUUUCAAAAAUCCUCUAAAUACAUAAAAAAAUCUAACAUCUGACAGUCACACCCCAAAUGGAGUAAGGUAGGUUUAAGGUAGUAGAGUGGAUUUUAGUCACCUAAGUUAGAUUUUACAGCAUCCAUGUAACAGCUACAUCUUUUUCCUGAAACAGGGUCCCUGCAACAAUCAGCCAGUAGCGUGGAUGUAAACCAAGUGAUGAUAGAGAAGAUUACAAGGGCAAUGGGACCAGCAAUCCACCCUAACUGAGCAAUGGCCCAUGAAAGAGAUAAGACCCCUGAGCCUAUGACUGCUGUUAUUAUAUGUGCACUUGCAGUCACCCAAGUUCCUGCAACAAAAAAACACAGGUUUUUAACUUAAAAAAUAAAAAUAAAAAUAAAAAAUAAAAAAACUGAUGAAAUUUGAAACCUCUCUUUGCAGAAGAAAAAAAAAAACCCAGAGUUGGAUAUGGCUUGCCUGCUCUUUUUGAGCUACCAUCAUCACCAUAUCGGUUGCUAGCUUCCAGUUCCAUGGCAUGUAAAGAUUGAUCCUUGCUUUCUCUCUGUACUUGAAAGAUGUUAGAUUUGUGUCAAAUUAAAGCCAAACUCCUUAAAACUUUAACUCUCAACCUAGACUGUUACGAAUGGGAAGAUUCUCUCAAAUAAAUGUAAAAUCACCCUAUUUGGCAAUUCCAAACUAAGUUCCUUUAUUAUUCCAAUACCAACUCAGAAAAUUAAUCUAAUUAAGGUAGCUAUUUAUAAUUCUAUAUAUGCACAAAAUUUAGUAAAUCUGUCCUUUUUUUAUUAGAAAUAGGUAAUUUAUGUUUCAAUUUUUUGGAUAAAAUUAUCGUUGAUAAUGUAGUAACCUUCCUAUUAC